rnacentral:misc_RNA from 1 species
AAGUCGUAACAAGGUUUCCGUAGGCGAACCUGCGGAAGGAUCAUUAACACGUAUCCAAACGUUAAACCCCUGGUAAAUCAUCGCCGAACAGUUUUCGAUUCAGGGACGUCUGCAAGGAGCGUGCAUGUUGUGCGAAGCAAGUGGCCUGGCAUCCCCAAGCAGUUAGUGUCUGAAAGUGUCAUUACCUGUGUAAGGAUGACGCAGUCACGAUCGUUGGAGGCCCACACGGCCGACGACCGGGUCGCUGGGCGCAAGCCCCCCUAUAACAAACCCCCUGCCAAUCGCGGCCGCGAUAAUACGCAGUCGACCAAAAACCGAACAACUGUUAACAAUGGAUAUCUUGGUUCUC